UUGACUGGGGCGGUACAUCUGUCAAAGAGUAACGCAGGUGUCCCAAGGUGAGCUCAGCGAGGACGGAAACCUCGCGUAGAGCAAAAGGGCCAAAGCUCACUUGAUUUUGAUUUUGCAGUAUGAAUACAGACCGGGAAA
rnacentral:ncRNA from 1 species